GUAUGUAUACCUUUGUUGCUUUGGCAGGCCGCUAGGUCCUGGCUCCGGCUAGGGAGUGCCUGCCAGAGGACCCUAAAACCUGAAUGUUAGUGUCGUCUGAGUACUAUACAAUAGUUAAAACUUUCAACAACGGAUCUCUUGGUUCUGGCAUCGAUGAAGAACGCAGCGAAAUGCGAUAAGUAAUGUGAAUUGCAGAAUUCAGUGAAUCAUCGAAUCUUUGAACGCACAUUGCGCCCCUUGGUAUUCCGGGGGGCAUGCCUGUUCGAGCGUCAUUACAACCCUCAAGCUCUGCUUGGUGUUGGGCGUCACCAGCCUUGGUGUGCCCUAAAAUCAGUGGCGGCGCCGUCUGGCUCUAAGCGUAGUACAUACUCUCGCUAUGGGACGCCUGGCGGAAUGCUUGCCAGCA
rnacentral:rRNA from 1 species